GUACAUUGUACUGAGGACCAUUUUUAGAAGAUUCUGUGACCUUUGUAAAUAAUUGCUCUUCAUUACUGAAAAGCCAGGUGUGUACAGGUGACAAAGUGAAUCAUCAGGACAACCUGCAGCAGAUGAAGCAGCAGUCAAUUCAGUGUGCUUUUCCCUUUUUUACUGUGUCAAUACAAAACUCUCUGUUGUUUGUGAUCUCUCUUGUCGUCAUAGCUUCAAGCAUGGUAGGUGCCGUUCCUGCUUACUGUAAACUGGCACAGCUGAGAAACCAAAGCUGCUGUCACUUAAUCCAUAGUGUAUAUAUAUACAUGUAUACGUACAAAGUGCCAGAUUCUAAGGGAAGGGUUUAUGUUAAGGAUCCUCUAAAAUGCAGUUUCAGAAUGACUUGUCUUUCAUGUCUCUCUUAAUUGUGAACUUUUGCAAAUUAUGUACUGCUUCAUCUUUAAAGUUUUGUUUCCUUGAAGCAUUAGCAUUUUAGAUAUUAAACAUGGAGCUCUCUUUAUGCAGCCAUUGCAGUAUGUGCUCAUAUCUUAUUUUGAGCAGUAAGCAGUCGAUUUUAAUUCUUCUCCUUUCCUCACAGCAGUACAAAAUGCAGGUCUACAUUUAUGCUGCUAAUACAAUGCAGUGGGUUGACCUUGGCCAGACACCAGGUGCCCACCAAGCCGCUCUAUCAUUCCCCUCCUCAGCAGGGAGAAAAUAAGAUGGGGAGAAAAAAGCCUUGUGGGUCAAGAUAAAGGCAGUUUAAUAAAGCAAAAGCAAAGGUAGCAUGUGGAAGCAAAGGCAAACAAAAGAAUUAUUCUCUACUUCCCACCAGCAGGCAAUGUGUAGCCACUUCCCAGGAAGCAGGGCUUCAGUACCCGCAGCAGUUGCUCCGAAAGACAAAAGUGAAAGAAGAACGUGGAUGAGGAGAGAUUCUGUAUUGUCAAAAUCAGGUUUUCUGCAGACUUUUAUUUGAGAACCAUUUCUGACUAAUGCAAAGCUGGCUGCCAGAGUUUUAGUACCCGCUGACCUGCUACAAAACUAAGUUACCUUAUGGAGCAUGAGCAGCUAAAGAGAGUCAACAGCUCUGAUGGUAACUCUGUCAUUAACUCUUCCGGGCCGGAUGACUGAGCAAUGCUGCUGCAUCCAACGCUGAACGCACCAGUCCCAGAACCGAGCUCCACCGCUGCAAACCCCCCGCGCCAGCCGUGGCCCUGCUCCGAAUGGAAAGCCAGGCGAAGACAGUGGAAAUAGAAAGAAAAUGAGGGUACAAAGGGAUCCAGAAUUAUUUAAACCUGGAACCCAACAUCCAUCCUGUCCCUGAGCAGCGAUCCUGCCUCCUUGGCUGGCUCCCCCUGUUACAUAUUGAGCAUGGCAUUGUAUGGUAUGGAAUUUCCCUUUGGCUAGUUUGGGUCGGCUGUCCUGGCUGUGUCCCCUUCCAACUUCUUGGGAAAAUUAACUACCCCAGCUGAAACCAGGACGCAGUCAUUCCUAUUGCACUGGAGCUGCAAACCUCCCGUUGGAUGGGAUGUGACUGACAGCAUCAGAUCCAGAGGAGACACCGGAGAGAAACAGCUUGUUCUUCAUUACUGUCCUUCCACAAUGUAACAGCCUACGGAUGCAUCUCAAAGUAAUCCAUUUCUGAGAAAUUGCUGGAAAUGCUGUUGUUUCUGGAUGUGGAUGUCCUGGUGCAGCCUGCUCACCCUCACGCUGGCCCUUUGGAGCUGGGGUGGACUCAGGUGCUGCUCUCGUUUCUUCCGAUCCAUUUCAAAUUACAGCGGCUUAAGUUUCUGCUCACUGCGCAGCUUCUUGCUCAUUAUUGAGUCGCCCAGAGUCUCCAGUCCCACACGUCCUUUGAGAGAGACAGCUCAGGGAUGACAAGCCCGUGAAAAUGAAAUGGCUGUUUUCUCUUUCGGCAGGAUUUCCAGUCAGCGCAGGUCUGCGGGCUGGAUGGGCACCGCCAGCUCUGCAACCAAAGGGCUGCUCGUCCUCCUCGGGAAGGAGAGUUGCCGUCCCUGCAGCCCCUGUCCUGGUAUCGGAGCCCUGUGGCCGCGUCUAGGUGAGGGUCACCUUGUGCGAGACUUCAGAUAUUUCCAAGAGGUGUGGAGGCAAACUGCUUCGCCCUCUCAGAGGUGGGAGUGUAAGGGAAAAAGGGAACAGCAGGCUUUGGCUGGGAAGUGAGGCCUCAUACAUUGUGCUCUUACACCUGGUGCGCGUGGGCAAAUGGUGCUGAAAAGGGGGCAUUUUGACUUGUGUGUUUCUAUCCGUUUCAAUCAAUGAGUGCACGUAUAGGGGAAGGAGCAGCAAUUAAUAUAGCACGUGCUUUGCCCCAAAGUGAUAUUAACUUGCAGUAACGUCACUUUAGCAAAAAGAGCAAUCAAGUCAUAAUAGGCAAUCAGGGAGAGCUGAACGUGGGAACGCUGUCCACGGUGAACGAACCGCCGUUUGAGCUCCUCGCUACAAGCCUCAGACUCCCUUUAGGCUCAGGGCUGGGGCUGUGCAGUUACAAGCGCAGCACAGCUUUCCUGGAGCAGUGUUAGCCCUGAUGAGCACCUGUG